rnacentral:rRNA from 1 species
CCUACGGGGUGCAGCAGUGAGGAAUAUUGGUCAAUGGCCGGAAGGCUGAACCAGCCAAGCCGCGUGAAGGACGAAGGUGCCAAGCAUUGUAAACUUCUUUUGUCAAGGGACAAAAUCAGGCUCGAGAGCCUGCCCGAGGUUACUUGAAGAAAAAGCAUCGGCAAACUCGGGGCCAGCAGCCGCGGUAAUACGGGGGAUGCGAGCGUUAUCCGGAUUUAUGGGGUUUAAAGGGUGCGUAGGGGGACUGUUAAGUCAGCGGUAAAAGCCCGGGGCUCAACCCCGACGAGCCGUUGAAUCUGGCUGUCUUGAGAUGUCGAGAGGGAUGCAGAAUGCGCAGUGUAGCGGUGAAAUGCUUAGAGAUUGCGCAGAACACCGGUUGCGAAGGCAGCAUACCGGCGG